rnacentral:lncRNA from 12 species
GCGACUCCGAGCAUUUUCCUGUGUCGGCUCCCUGUAAGGUCAGCCCCUGACUGCUCAAGUUUUGUGGCUUUCACUCAACUCCUGGCACUUGGAGCUAGAAGGAAUGUCUCCUGCAACCACACAGAGCCUGGAAGCUGAGGAGAACCCCUGGACAGAGCACCAGGACACUUCACAGAGCACACAGCCGGAGCAUCUCUGGGGGCUGGAGAAUAAAGCAACUGAAGUUUGG